rnacentral:misc_RNA from 1 species
CGUUGGAGUGCGGCGAGAAGAUCAUCACUAAUGGUGCCGUCGCCUCCGAUCCUUUCCAUUGCCCUGCCUUCUGAGACAGGCCGCGUCCUCAGCAUCCAAUCUCACACCGUUCAGGGUUAUGUCGGGAACAAAUCUGCAGUCUUUCCCCUUCAACUUCUUGGCUAUGAUGUGGAUCCAAUCAACUCGGUGCAGUUCUCUAAUCACACAGGGUAUCCAACAUUCAAAGGACAAGUUCUUGAUGGUCAACAGUUGUGGGAUCUGAUUGAAG